rnacentral:rRNA from 1 species
UACGUAGGGGGCGAGCGUUGUCCGGAUUCAUUGGGCGUAAAGCGCGCGCAGGCGGUGGCGUGAGCCCGGCGUGAAAGCCCCCAGCUCAACUGGGGGAGGCCGUCGGAGACCGCGACACUUGAGGCCGGUAGGGGAGAGCGGAAUUCCCGGUGUAGUGGUGGAAUGCGUAGAGUAUCGGGAGGAACACCAGUGGCGAAGGCGGGACUCUGGGCCGAUACUGACGCUGAGGAGCGAAAGCGUGGGGAGCGAACAGG